AACUGCAACACGGUUGUCAGUGUUUACAAUACAUUUGAAUCAAUGAUUUGAAAGCUUUGUUUGAUUUUGAGUACAGGUGAAAUGGUUUUGAAGCGAUUGUUUGAUUUUGCCAGAAUUUAGUUUGAAGGUUUGGAUUUGUGUUUAAGGUUUUGAGAAAAUGAGUGAUGGUUUCAAGAAAUGUGUUUUAGCAAAUCAGAAAAACUGUAUUUCAUGAAAUUACAGUUUUUCUCAAUUGCUAAAACACUAAAACCCAUUGGCUGAACAAAGUUCUCAGUUGCCUGAACUUAUUUAGCUAAUUGUGCAGUCUGUUGUCAAUACCUUAAACCAUUUCACAUGGUAAAACACAAUUUGCAGAUCUCACUUAGACUCUUCAGCAAAACGCUAAACACAUUCUCAUUCUCAAAACACAUUCUGCACUCUAAUGCACAUGUCAUCCAUACUGGUAAACACAAGUGGCAACAAUCAAAUACAAAUAGAGAACAUGUGUCAUUGAUUGAACACAACCACUCAAAAUUGAUUUAACCUGUUUCAAAUGAUGUGACACAACCAAUAUAAGCCAGUUCAGAGAGCAAACAGGUUGUUGAAGGUGGGAAGGAGAAAGUCUGAAAAUGGAUAGAAGAAACAAUGUGAGAGGACGAGUGCGUAUGAGAGGUGGGCGACGAGGAGGAGGGCAAGAAAGAGGAAGAGGAGGAGGAGGAGGGCAAGAAAGAGGAAGAGGAGGAGGAGGAGGAGGAGGAGGAGGAGGAGGAGGAGGAGGAGGAGGAGGGCAAGAAAGAGAAAGAGGAGGAGGAGGAGGGCAUGGAAGAGGAAGAGGAGGAGGAGGACAAAGAGGAAGAGGAAGACAAAGAGUGGAAAUAUCUGAUGAAAUUCGAGCAACAGUCAUAGACCAUGUUCUUGUCCAUGGACUGACAAUGAGGGAAGCAGGACUUAGAGUGCAACCCAAUUUGAGCCGAUUUUCUGUGUCCACCAUAGUAAGGACAUUCAGAGAAGAGAACAGAAUUGCAAGGCUGCCACAUGCAGGUGGAAGGACACUUAUAUUCACUCGGGAGCAAGAGGCCGUUAUAGUGGGCAUGGUCCUUCAAGAUAAUCUAAUACGACUCAGAGAAAUCCAGGAACGAGUGAUACAAGACAACACACACUUCCAGGGAAUCGACAGUGUGAGCAUUUCCACAAUUGACCGUGUCCUCCAUCGAAACAGGAUGCGAAUGAAACAAGUAUACAGAGUACCUUUUGAGCGCAACUCACUUUCAUGUGAAAGAACUGCGAGCUCAGUAUGUGCAAACAAUAUUUGA
ensembl:lncRNA